UCUGUUCAAGUGAUUAUGCCUCUCCUACAUGAUUUAGGGAAGAGGGAUCGUUUUUCCUGAAAUAUCUUGGAUUGGGUUCCAAUCAAUCAUUGUGGUCUUAUAACUCUUUCCAUUGAAUGGGUACAAGGUGCCAUGUGACCCAGUUACGUCCAGUGACAUAUAAGUGGAGGUCUACUAGUUUGCUGAUAGCUGCAUUUCAAGCACUUAGACUAUUGGCAGGCAUUUAUCAAGUGUUGAAUAAAUAAUUAUUGAAUGAAUGGAUUUUAAAUGCUAAAGAGUUUUUCAUUCAAAAUAAGAAUUCAUUGGAACAGACUGUUCUUUCCAGGCCAUUGCUGUGUCUGGAUGUGUUGCACGGAACUGCUGCAGCCAUCUUGUUACCAGUGUAAGGGUGAAGCCCACCCACAGGUGAGGCUGACCCAAGAGACGCAAAGAAGCAGAGCCCAAGCCAUCAUGGAAGAUCCUGACUUCUUGAGAUAAUAAAUUUCUUUCUUGCUUACAUCAAUUUAAGCUGAGAAUUUCUAUCAUUCGUUGAUGAAGUAAUCUUAACAGAUAUAUGCUGUUUUAUGCCAAGAGUUACCAUAUUUGUUGAGUAAUACAUAUAAAAGAGUUUAUAAGGCCUCCAUUUGGCUACCUACCAUUACAGGGCAUAAUAAUAAAAUCUCUUGAUAUAUUUAAUAGAAAGGUGGAUACUGUUUUUUAAAGAAAUUAUACUAAUGUGAUAUAUAUUUUAUAAAAUUCAAUAACAUUUAACACAUCAUGAUAAAGCAUAAUUUUAGGUACUACCAAAGAACAAAUAUCAACAGCUGGGAGACCCUUCUAGAGGACCAAAGAAUUCUGAAUCUCAGCCUUCACUGCUUUUAAAGCUGUGCAUAGAACAAGAUUAUUCUUCACUACCUUAAUUUCAGCACCAAGUUUCUGAAAGCCAUUGUAGUUAUCUAUUGCUACAUAACAAAUGACUCCCAAAUUUAGUGUCUUAAUACAAUGACAUUCAUUUUAUUAUUCCUCAUGAUUUCCGUGGGUCAGGAAUUUGGGAAGGGUUGAGCUGGCUGUGGGACUCUGAUCGCAGUCAGAUGGUGGCUGGAGCUGGAACAGUGGCAGGGGUGGGGCUGGAGCAGCAGUCAGCUAGGGGAUCUCUUCAUAUGGUCCAAGGGCCUCUCCAUGUGACCUCUGCUCAUGGGUAGUUUGUGCUUCCUCACAACAUGGCAGCCUCAGGGUAAUCAGGCUGCUCAUAAGGCCUGAAGUUUUCUAGAGGGAAGCAAACCGAAUGGGAGUUACAUUGCCUUUUAUGAUCUCGCCCCAGAAGUCACACAGCUUAAUUUUUGCUUCAUUGUAUUUUAUUUUUGCAAGAGAGCCACAAGCCUUCCCAGAAUCAAGGGAAAGAGAAUUAUACUCCAUCUCUUGAUGGGGGAGUGACAAGAUUCUAGAAUAGCAUAUGUGUCGAGAGAGAUUUUGGUGGUCAUCUUUGGAAAACACAACCUGCCAUAACCAUUAAAGAUGUUUCUGUGUGGCUUGUUUUUUUAUUUUUUUUCUUCUUUCUUUUGUGUUAAUUUUGCUGUCUAAAAUCUGUGGAAUGACCAAAUCUGUAAGUUCCUUGGAGUUAAGGAACUCAUUCUUUCUUUCCAUGCAAUUCCAGGACCACUUGGAUUCCAUAUCAAGGAUCAAACUAAGUUCAGAAAGUGAGAGAAUGGAAGAGAAUAAUAAUAAUAAUAAAAGAGCAUGAGUUUGUGUCAAGAGACUAUGAAGAGAGUGGUUUCGGUAUGAGUGAUAAGAAGUGGCAGGCGCUUUGAAAAUAAAAAUAUUAAGAUUGAAGUGGUACAGGAGAAUGCCUCCCAUUCACGCUGCUGAGUGUUCCUGAGUAUUCGAAAAGUUCUCCUGAAAGUUUACUCAGCAGAUUCACAAUAAACGAUGAAUUCAAUCUCCUGCAUGAUAUAAAGGGCAUCAAUGAGGAAGACCAAUAACCAAGCCAGUAUGACCACCCACCCCAUACAUUAAUUCAAUUUAAAGCUGUGGAGAAAUGAGGAAGAAACAGAUGUUGAUCUUAGGAUACUAUCGCUUAUCUGCCACUACAGAAGGAUUUAUGAAAUGCUACAACGACGGAAUCUUUUCGGAGAUCAGUGGCAUUCUCUGUUCUGAGUGUCACACAGCUUCUUAGAUGAAGACAUCAAAGAGCCACACCAGAAACAACCAGUGCAGUCCUAAUGCUUUGCCUACAUACGCUGAGCAAAAUGGAGAUUGGAGGCAAUUAAUCGGAGGCAAUUACCAAGAUAUGUUUUUUUCUUUUUAACUAUGAACAUUUUUCACACUGUUUGGUUAAAUCUUUUAGGAACAUAAAUCAUGCAAAAGCUUUCCUCUCUGGCUACUUCAUGUCACUUUGAAUAUGCACCAGAAGAUGCCAAUUCUGUAUUAAUUUCUAGUUUUGUAUUUUGAUGUUUAAGGGUGAAAAAAACCAAAGCUUGUUAUUCGGGUUUAGCAAUACAUUUAAAAAUUAUUUGAAGGACAUGUUAAAAUUAUAAGAUAAAAUAACUUAGAAAAAUCUACUUUAUGAAACAUUAAUAUUACUAGUUUUAUUUUUAGCUGUUACUGUAAUUUACUUACUGCAAAAUUUAAGCAGGAUUAAUUUUGUAUAACAAACAUAUUACAUUGUAAUAGGUUGUUAGUCUUAGAACAUAGUUUGCUGUACCAAUUUUGUGAUUCUUUUGGAUAAUUUUAAUAAAAAUAGUAUUAUGGGCUAGGAGUAUAUUAUCAAUAGUUUUGUUCUAUGAAUUAUUAUUUUUUAAUAGUUCUUUAUUGGAGUAUAAUUGCUUCACAAUACUGUUAGUUUCUGCUGUACAACAAAGUGAAUCAGCUAUACAUAUACAUAUAUCACCAUAUCCCCUCCCUCUUGAGCCUCCCUCCCACCCUCCCUAUCCCACCCCUCUAGGUCAUCCCAGAACACCAAGCUGAUCUCCCUGUGCUAUGCAGCUGCUUCCCACUAGCUAUCUAUUUUACGUUUGGUAGUGUAUAUAUGUCCAUGCCACUCUUUCACUUCGUCCCACCUUACCCUUCCCCCUGCCCAUAUCCUGUCCAUUCUCUAGUAGGUCUGCGUCUUUAUUCCCGUCUUGCCCCUAGGUUCUUCAUGACCAUUUUUUUUUUUUAAGAUUCCAUAUAUAUGUGUUAGCAUACAGUAUUUGUUUUUCUCUUUCUUACUUACUUCACUCUGUAUGACAGACUCUAUCUAGGUCCAUCCACCUCACUACAAAUAACUCAAUUUUGUUUCUUUUUAUGGCUAAUAUUCCAUUGUAUAUAUGUGCCACAUCUUCUUUAUCCAUUCAUCUGCCGAUGGACAUUUAGGUUGGUUCCGUGUCCUGGCUAUUGUAAAUAAAGAUUAUCUUUCAAUUGAACGUUUAAAGUCUUUUUGUUGCCAUUCUUACUCUUUGUUAAAAAUAACUUUAAAUUUCUUUGUGAAUUUUUAAUUUGUUUAUUGGGAAGAUUUAGGGAAGGUUCAUUUUGAUCCCAAAAAUGUAACAUAAAACUAACUUUCUAUGAAUUAAUUUAAUAAGUCAAACUAUUUCUAAGCGAAUAUUUAUUAUUAUUUAAAAAAAUAACUGCCUACCAAUAUUUUCACUCUAUUGAAAAUAUAUCUUUAACACAAGCAAUAUUUAGGAAAUGUAAAUAUAAGAGAGGAUUCAUUAGGAGGAGGCAAAAAUGUUAUGAAAAUGUCUAAAA